CCUACGGGAGGCAGCAGUGGGGAAUAUUGCACAAUGGGCGAAAGCCUGAUGCAGCGACGCCGCGUGAGGGAUGACGGCCUUCGGGUUGUAAACCUCUUUCAGUAGGGAAGAAGCGAAAGUGACGGUACCUGCAGAAGAAGCGCCGGCUAACUAUGUGCCAGCAGCCGCGGUAAU
rnacentral:rRNA from 1 species